UGGAGCGUGUGGUUUAAUUCGAUGCUACGCGAAGAACCUUACCUGGGUUUGACAUAGGGGUAGUAGCAAGGUGAAAGCUGCGCGACCCUUCGGGGAGCCUCUACAGGUGCUGCAUGGCUGUCGUCAGCUCGUGUCGUGAGAUGUUGGGUUAAGUCCCGCAACGAGCGCAACCCUCGUCGUUAGUUACAAGUGUCUAACGGGACUGCCGGUUUCAAACCGGAGGAAGGUGGGGAUGACGUCAAGUCAGCAUGGCCUUUAUAUCUUGGGCA
rnacentral:rRNA from 1 species